CGGAGUCUGACAUGUGUGCGAGUCAACGUGCUAGUAAACCCGCAAGGCGCAAGGAAGCUGACUAGCGCGAUCCCCCUCGAGGGGUGCAACGCCGACUGACCUUGAUCUUCUAAGAAGGGUUCGAGUGAGCAAACCUGUCGGGACCCGAAAGAUGGUGAACUAUGCCUGAGCGGGGCGAAGCCAAAGGAAACUCUGGUGGAGGCCCGCAACGAUAAUGACGUGCAAAUCGUUCGUCUGACUUAGGUAUACGGGCGAAAGACUAAUCGAACCAUCUAAUAGUUGGUUCCCUCCGAAGUUACCCUCAAGAUAGAUGGAGCUCGAGCGCGAGUUCUAUCGGGUAAAGCCAAUGAUUAGAGGCAUCGGAGGCGCAACGCCCUCGACCUAUUCUCAAAAUUUAAAUAGGAAGGACGGUGCGGCUUCUUUGUUGAGCCGCACCAGGGAAUCGAGAGCCCUAAGUGGGCCAUUUUAUGUAAGCAGAACUGGCGAUGGGGAAUGAACCGGAAGCCGGGUUACGGUGCCCAACUGCGCACUAACCUAGAUCUCAUAAAGGGUGUUGGUCGAUUAAGACAGCAGGACGGUGGUCAUGGAAGUCGAAAUUCACUAAGGAGUGUGUAACAACUCACCUGCCGAAUCCACUAGCCCCGAAAAUGGAUUGCGCCAAAGUGCGCGACCUAUACCCGGCCGUCAGGGCAAAACCCUGGGCGUGAGCCCGGGCGGAGCGUGUAGCACCCCCCUUUAUAUCGGGCGACAAAUCG
rfam:Erythranthe guttata cultivar DTN x IM62 scaffold_74_contig_42, whole genome shotgun sequence.